UAUGCUGAACUCCUACAACUAC
rnacentral:siRNA from 1 species